UACGGGGGGGGCAAGCGUUGUUCGGAAUUACUGGGCGUAAAGGGCUCGUAGGUGGCCAACUAAGUCAGACGUGAAAUCCCUCGGCUUAACCGGGGAACUGCGUCUGAUACUGGAUGGCUUGAGUUUGGGAGAGGGACGCGGAAUUCCAGGUGUAGCGGUGAAAUGCGUAGAUAUCUGGAGGAACACCGGUGGCGAAGGCGGCGUCCUGGACCAACACUGGCACUGAUGAGCGAAAGCCAGGGGAGCAAACGGG
rnacentral:rRNA from 1 species